GGGCGUUUAGCUCAGUUGGUUAGAGCGUACGGAUCACACCCGUAAGGUCGAAGGUUCGAGUCCUUCAACGCCCA
rnacentral:tRNA from 1 species